rnacentral:sRNA from 1 species
GGCUUUUGACUGACUGGAUGUGGGAAUGUUGUGGAAGACUUCUGGCCUGCCAUUUCCUGAGAAUGGGACUGCUGAGAGAAGAGCUGGGAGGAGCACUGCAAAUUUCACUCUGGACACAUGAGUCAGAGAAAUCUGCCUCCUGGGCCAUGCCGCUUCUAAGGCCUGUUUCUUCUCAUGAGCCCCAGCACAAGACAGAUGGGCCAGUUCUCACAGUGGAUAACUUCCCCUGCCUGAGCAAGAGAUGGGAUAGUAUCUGGGAUCUAUCCAUCACCAGACUCUGAACUUAAUAAGGCAGCUGAAUGAAGGGAGGUAACGGACCCCUGAGAGGGGCGCUGAAGUCUGCAGUGGGGGGGGAG